CGGGGGGGGCAAGCGUUGUUCGGAAUUACUGGGCGUAAAGGGCUCGUAGGCGGCCCAACUAAGUCAGACGUGAAAUCCCUCGGCUUAACCGGGGAACUGCGUCUGAUACUGGAUGGCUUGAGUUUGGGAGAGGGAUGCGGAAUUCCAGGUGUAGCGGUGAAAUGCGUAGAUAUCUGGAGGAACACCGGUGGCGAAGGCGGCAUCCUGGACCAACACUGACGCUGAGGAGCGAAAGCCAGGGGAGCAAACGGGAUUAGAUACCCCGGUAGCCCUGGCCCUAAACGAUGAAUGCUUGGUGUGGCGGGUACCGAUCCCUGCCGUGCCGAAGCUAACGCAUUAAGCAUUCCGCCUGGGGAGUACGGUCGCAAGGCUG
rnacentral:rRNA from 1 species